GUCAGGAUGGCCGAGUGGUCUAAGGCGCCAGACUCAAGCUCCGCUUCCUCGGCAUGAGGAUUCUGGUCUCCGAAUGGAGGCGUGGGUUCGAAUCCCACUUCUGACA
rfam:Oryctolagus cuniculus chromosome 12, whole genome shotgun sequence.